rnacentral:lncRNA from 1 species
GGCACAGGGGAGGACGUUCUGUUUCCCGAAGGCCUGAUGCUCUAGGCCAAACCCAACAAGAUGUCAGAGUGUAGAAUAUGGUCCCACCUAGAAAAUGAAUGGCACUAUUUUAACAGUAGAGCAUCGUGGGAAAAUCCAGAAUGCCUACUCUGAAAUUUAAAUCAAGAACAUGGAAGCCACACGAGUGUGCAGGAAGGACUCGUGUGAGCACACCGUGAAAUCCUUCAGAGACCCUUCCUUACAAGGACUAAAUGGCCGGGAAUCAUCGAGGACACACUCCCUCGGAAGAAUUGCGGAGUAAAAUCUCUAAUCAAGGAAAGUUAAUACAAUCCACCAAUUUUUGCUUGAGAAAUUAGAGAAAAGCUGCCCAUCACCUAAGGGAGGUCCCCUGUGAGGAGAGAGGGUGCAUUCCAGGCCUCUGUGGUGGUGGGCUGUACAAGAUGCCAGAUGAGAGAAGACUAACACUGUCUCAGACCCCGUGCAGCUUUCGUCAGUAACUCCCUCUGGAGGCGGUGUGCCAUGGCGUACUCCCCCAACGGAGUGGAAGCCAAACUGAUCAUCCCUUCUGCACACCGCCCCCCAUGUCUGGGCAACACAUGCUCCCAACUUUCUUGGAUUAUUCAGAAGGAUUGAAGAGGCUUUUAGAGGAGAUUCUGAAUUUUCUGCAAUUAAGUGAUUCCAACAGAUGUAUUCUUCAAGCCAGCCUCAGAAGACCAAUAUGAAGACCCUAUGUACAAGCAUUUAUAAGUAUUAACAUUUCUAAAGCAUCUUUUUACAUAGUAUUUUAUGUUUUAGAAUGUGCCUGCCAGAGUAUACAAAAUAUACUCAGAAGAGGAAUUCCACUGAAUCAGGAACUUCUUGAAAAGAAGGGAGUAAACAAAAACCAGGAAAAUUAGCAAACGUAGCGAUAAUCAUCCUGGCAGAACUGGCAGUUUCCAAGUAUUUAAUUCACUGCAAGCAAGCAUCUUCUUUACUGGAAAAAUGUACUACAGCCGAGGCAGAAAAUGGAAAGGAGAAGCUGUUAGCUUCAUUUCACCUAAAACAAGGUAAAAUGUCAAAAUGGCACACUGGGCCUGUUUUCCAAAAGCCCACUACAGUUUAAGGUCUUUUA